AUUGAACGCUGGCGGCAGGCCUAACACAUGCAAGUCGAGCGAGCGGCGGACGGGUGAGUAAUGUCUGGGAAACUGCCUGAUGGAGGGGGUAACUACUGGAAGCGAUAGCUAAUACUGCAUACCAUCAGAUGAUCCCACAUGGGUUUAGUUAGUAGGUGGGGUAAUGGCUCACCUAGGAGACGAUCCCUAGCUGGUUGGAGAGGAUGACCAGCCACACUGGAACUGAGACACGGUCCAGACUCCUACGGGAGGCAGCAGUGGGGAAUAUUGCACAAUGGGCGCAAGCCUGAUGCAGCCAUGCCGCGUGUGUGAAGAAGGCCUUCGGGUUGUAAAGUACUUUCAGCGGGGAGGCGUUACCCGCAGAAGAAGCACCGGCUAACUCCGUGCCAGCCGCCGCGGUAAUAC
rnacentral:rRNA from 1 species